CCCUUAGAUGUCCGGGGCCGCACGCGCGCUACACUGAAGGAAUCAGCGUGGCUUUCUCCCUGACCCGAAAGGGUUGGGAAACCCGUUGAAUCUCCUUCGUGAUAGGGAUUGGGGCUUGAAAUUGUUCCCCAUGAACGAGGAAUUCCCAGUAAGCGCGAGUCAUAAGCUCGCGUUGAUUACGUCCCUGCCCUUUGUACACACCGCCCGUCGCUACUACCGAUUGAACGGUUUAGUGAGGGCCUCGGAUUGGUCUCGGCCCGCUCUUUACCGGGCGGCGCCGUUGGUCGAGAAAACGCUCGAACUUGAUCGUUUAGAGGAAGUAAAAGUCGUAACA
rnacentral:rRNA from 1 species